rnacentral:rRNA from 1 species
GAUGAACGCUGACAGAAUGCUUAACACAUGCAAGUCGAUUCAAGUUACCUUCGGGUAAUGAGGAUGGCGGACGGGUGAGUAACGCGUAAGGAACUUGCCUCUUGGUCUGGGACAACUGUUGGAAACGACAGCUAAUACCGGAUAUUAUGAGAUUCUCGCAUGGGAAACUUAUGAAAGCUAUAUGCGCCAAGAGAGAGCCUUGCGUUCCAUUAGCUAGUUGGUGGGGUAACGGCCCACCAAGGCGACGAUGGAUAGCCGGCCUGAGAGGGUGAACGGCCACAAGGGGACUGAGACACGGCCCUUACUCCUACGGGAGGCAGCAGUGGGGAAUAUUGGACAAUGGGCCACAAGCCUGAUCCAGCAAUUCUGUGUGCACGAUGAAGGUCUUCGGAUUGUAAAGUGCUUUCAGUUGGGAAGAAGAAAGUGACGGUACCAACAGAAGAAGCGACGGCUAAAUACGUGCCAGCAGCCGCGGUAAUACGUAUGUCGCAAGCGUUAUCCGGAUUUAUUGGGCGUAAAGCGCGUCUAGGCGGAAAAAUAAGUCUGAUGUUAAAAUGCGGGGCUCAACUCCGUAUUGCGUUGGAAACUGUUUUUCUAGAGUACUGGAGAGGUGGGCGGAACUACNAGUGUAGAGGUGAAAUUCGUAGAUAUUUGUAGGAAUGCCGAUGGAGAAGUCAGCUCACUGGACAGAUACUGACGCUAAAGCGCGAAAGCGUGGGGAGCAAACAGGAUUAGAUACCCUGGUAGUCCACGCCGUAAACGAUGAUCACU